AGGGAAUCCUCGGCAAUGGACGCAAGUCUGACCGAGCAACGCCGCGUGAGUGAAGAAGUGUUUCGGUAUGUAAAGCUCUAUCAGCAGGGAAGAAAAUGACGGUACCUGACUAAGAAGCCCCGGCUAACUACGUGCCAGCAGCCGCGGUAAUACGUAGGGGGCAAGCGUUAUCCGGAUUUACUGGGUGUAAAGGGAGCGUAGACGGCACUGCAAGUCUGGAGUGAAAGCCCGGGGCUCAACCCCGGGACUGCUUUGGAAACUGUGGUGCUAGAGUGCAGGAGAGGUAAGUGGCAUUCCUAGUGUAGCGGUGAAAUGCGUAGAUAUUAGGAGGAACACCAGUGGCGAAGGCGGCUUACUGGACUGUAACUGACGUUGAGGCUCGAAAGCGUGGGGAGCAAAC
rnacentral:rRNA from 1 species